GGAGUUAGCCGGUGCUUCUUCUGUGAGUGAUGUCCUUCCUGCCGGCUAUUAACCCGCAGGCCUUCUUCCUCACUGAAAGUGCUUUACAACCCGAAGGCCUUCUUCACACACGCGGCAUGGCUGGAUCAGGGUUGCCCCCAUUGUCCAAUAUUCCCCACUGCUGCCUCCCGUAGGAGUCUGGGCCGUGUCUCAGUCCCAGUGUGGCUGAUCAUCCUCUCAGACCAGCUACGGAUCGUCGCCUUGGUGAGCCGUUACCUCACCAACCAGCUAAUCCGACAUAGGCUCAUCCGAUAGCGCGAGGCCCGAAGGUCCCCCGCUUUCCCCCGUAGGGCGUAUGCGGUAUUAGCCUGGGUUUCCCCAGGUUAUCCCCCACUACCGGGCAGAUUCCUAUGCAUUACUCACCCGUCCGCCGCUCGCCACCAGGGAGCAAGCUCCCCGUGCUGCCGCUCGACUUGCAUGUGUAGCNCGCGCCACGCGUCAUCUGAGCGAGAUACAACUACUGA
rnacentral:rRNA from 1 species